rnacentral:rRNA from 1 species
CCUAGUUGAUCCUACUAGUAGUCAUAUGCUUGUCUCAAAGAUUAAGCCAUGUAUGCAUAAGUAUAAAAUAAUUCAUACUAUGACACUAUGAAUGGCUUAUUAAAUCAGUUAUAGUUUAUUUAAUGGUAUGUGCUACUCAGAUAACCAUAAAAAUUCUAGAGCUAAUACAACAACAAGCCUUGACUUUUAGAAAUUAUGCAUUUAUUAGAUAAAAGGUCGAUAUGAGCUUUGCCCAUUGCUCUGAUGAUUCAUGAUAACUUGAUGAAUCACAUAACCUUUGUACCGAUGAUGCAUCAUUCAAAAUUUUGCCUUAUCAACUUUCAAUGGUAGGAUAGUGGCCUACUAUGGUUCUGAUAGGUAAUGGAGAAUUAGGGUUUGAUUCUAAAGAAGGACCUUGAGAAACGACUACCACAUCUAAGAAAAGCAAUAGGCGUGUAAAUUACCCAAUCCUGACAUGCUAAGAUAGUGACAAUAAAUAACAAUACCAGGCUCUAUGAGUUUGGUAAUUGGAAUGACUACAAUGUAAAACCCUUAACAAGGAUCCAUUGGAAGGCAAGUUGAGUGCCAAUAACCAUGAUAAUUCUAGCUCCAAUAGUGUAUAUUUAAGUUGUAGUUAAAAAACUCAUAGUAGGAACUAGGGUUGGGUGAUCCAGUUUACCACCUGAUACGCAUCGAUAUACUCAUCCUUACUAUAAGUGAUGCACUUUUGGCCUUAACUAACUAGGUUGUUCCUCUGAUGCUGUUACUUUGAAGUAAUUAGAGAGCUCAAAGCAAGCCUAAUCUUACAUACAUUGAUAACAUCAUAGGAUUUUGAUCCUAUUGUGUUGACUUUCAGGAUUGGAGUAAUAUUAACAGGGACAGUUAGGGGAUUCAUAUUUCAUAGUAAGAGGUGAAAUUCUUGGAUUUAUGAAAUAUGAACAACAAUGAAAGCAUUUGCUAGGGAUGUUUUCAUCAAUCAAGAAUAAAAGUUAGGGGCUAGAAGAUGAUCAGAUACCAUCCUAUUCUCAACCAUAAAUGAUACCAACCAAGGAUCGAUAAAUGUUACCUUUAAGACUCUAUCAGCACCUUAUGAGAAAUCAAAGUCUUUAGGUUUCAAAGGGAGUAUGAACAUAAGGCUAAUACUUAAAGGAAUUAAUAGAAAGCCACCACUAAGAGUGGAGCUUGCAGUUUAAUUUGACUCAACAUAAGGAAACUUACCAGGUCUAGACAUAGUAAGGAUUAACAAACUAAGAGCUUUUUCUUGAUUUUAUGGGUGGUGGUGUAUGGCUUUUCUUAAUUUGUAAAGCAAUUUGUUUGGUUAAUUUUGUUAAUGAAUGAAACCUCAACCUAUUAACUACCUACACGGAGGUGAUCCUUUAUGGCUAGCAUUUUAGAUGGACUAUGGCCACUUAGGCCAAGGAAGUUUGAGGCAAUAAUAAGUCUGUGAUGCCUUUAGAUGUUUGGGUCAUACACGUGCUAUACUUAUGUACUCAACUAGUCUAUAGCCUUGGUCGAUAGGCUUGGGCAAUCUUUGAAAUUUCAUCAUUAUAGGGAUAGAUCAUUGCAAUUGUUGGUCUUUAAUGAGAAAUUCCUAGUAAGCAUGAGUCAUCAGUUCAUGUUGAUUAUGUCUCUGCCCUUUGUACACACCGCUUGUCGCUCAUACCAAUUAAGUGGUUUAGUAAAGUGUUUCGAUUAUGGCAAUGUGGGCGGUUCACUACCCACAAUGUUGCAAGAGGUCCACUAAACUUUAUCAUUUAAAGGAGGAAAAGUCAUAAGAAGGUUUCUGUAGGUGAACCUAUGGAAG